GGAAAAUCCGAAAAGAGCGCAAGAAAAACCCCAUUCCCGCGCUUUCUCAUACCCUAAUCCAUCCCAAUUUGGGGGAAGAUUUCAGAAAAAGCUCACUCCACUCGAUUUUUCCCCAAAAAUCCUUAGCAACGAGACCGAUCAUCUGUCGAGGAAGUCGCUGCCGGAGAAGGAAGAUAGGAAAUGGCGAAGACGAAGCCGUUUCAGGGGGGCGACCGUGUUUGUGCCGAGGAACUUGAGUGCCUCCCGAGCUGUUCGACGCGCUCAAGCUGAACGGAGCUGAGGCCUUCCUCCGCCGCGACCCUUCCAGGAGUGGGCCCCGCGAUUUUCACGCUGUUUCUUCUCUCCGAUCACGUGAGUACGUUGGGAUUGGGCGGCGCUAACGGCUUUUGGGUUCAUUUUGAGAAUUGGGUUUGAGGUUGUUUUACGUCUUGAGAAGUUCGAGGAUCUUCAGGCGAAAGGGUUGUGAGCUAGUCGGUCUGCAGUGUGUGGUGGUUUCGCGUGCGAAAGAACGGAGACCUCUACCGCAAAAAGGGUAUGCUUGUUUGUCUUGCUAUGGAUGGUGUCGAAGUCCUUGCAUCUGGAUUUGAGACGGAUGAGGAGACAUGCUUUUGUCUGAACAAAUAUGGUGGCAGCCUGUCGUCUCUCUUAUUGUUUCACCAUUUCCGUGAGUCUGCAGGCUGAGAUUGAGAAAUUGGUUACUUCAAUGUGGGGAGCUCUACAGACCAAAACUUCAGCAGAUGUUAGCUUCGUAAUUGCGAAGAAUAUUUUGGCUGCAAAAUACAGGGUUUAGGUCUUGGAGUUAAAAAUUUGAAUUUAGUUUAAGAGUAGCGAAUUUGUUGUAUCUUGUUAAAGGUUAAAUUCACUUUAAAUGAGAUUCAUUAUGCUCUUUCACUGAGUAUGGGAAGCAUCAUGGGUAGUACUCUGAUUGAGUUGGCUGAACUUAGGAAGAGUUUCCUCCAUAUUUUUUUUUGGAUAUUCUAUGAGCAAAUUCUUUUAUGAAUCCCAUCUUGAGAGAUAAAUUGUAUUUAUCAAUUAAUGUUGUCAUCGUACAGUGGGCUUUAAAUGUUCUGAAGUGACCUGUUGUCACCAUUAAUUGGUUAUACCAAUGCCGUAUUGAGCACCGUGUUGUACCUCAAGAGUCUUAUAGAGUUCUUCCAUUUUCUGGAUUGACAAUGAAUGUCACAGGAAUUCCUGCAGGUACUGAUUGUUUGAUAUAGCCGCUGCUGUUGGUUGUCCUCCAGUUCUUCAAUUUUUAUGUCCUUCAUGAUCUCAGACACACGGAAGGAGAUUCAGAAGCAUAUUACAGAAAAUGGUGGGAGAUAUUCUGCAGAAUUGACCAGGAAGUGCACUCAUUUAAUUGCAGAAAUAUCCUUUUCUUCUUCAAGAUUAAGGUCCAGUGAUUUGCUUGCAUAUAUUCCUUUUGAUAUUUGAUCACCGUGUCAAAAUGCACAUAUCUUUAUCUUGUCUUCGCAUAUGAAAACACUUUAAGAGUUUGAAAAGAAGAUCUGUAUCAUUUCAAGGUUUAGUGACGAUUAUAGUUUGAAAUAGGAAAUAGCUAUGCUUGAUUUAAUCCUGGUUUUUGGUAAUAUCCUUUUACUUGGGAAUUUGAUUAUGAUGAGAAACAGUGAAACUUCUCGGCAUGACAAUAUCAUUGACUUUGACUUCUAAAUCAGUCCUAAAGAAUUGUGUUCUGUGGUUCAAGGAAACAAGGUGUUAAACAACGUACGAUUUGAACCACUAAUUGUUAAAAGAUCCUCAGCCAGUUCUCGCUUUUGCAGUGUGAGUUAGGACUGCCUGUUGGUUGCUCAAAGCACAUUGCUCAGCAAUGUUAUUACCAUUGAAUCUUUCUAUUGGCCUCAUUUAUGAGGCUCUGUAGCACUGUGAGUCCCACUACGAUGCACUUGACUGGCUGUAAGCUCCAGAAGAUAAAUACAAGGUUGCUAAAAGAUGGGGUCACAUUCAUAUUUUGAAUCGCAAAUGGUUUGAUCAAUCAACUUCCAGGAAAGGUGAUAUUUCAGUUACUAAAAUACCUUGUUGCUGUCAACUGCAGGAACAUUUAUGUUCUUUUUGAGCCAUCUUGUUGUCUGCCUCUAAUUAUGAGUGCUUUUGCUGACUAGCAUGUCUUAAUGAGGAGUCUUAUCCUGUUCAGGGUAGUUCCAUGUCUUUAGUGAAAAUUGCAAGUAGUCAGCAAAAUCUGUACAGAGUUAUUAGAAGUUCAGAGUCUCUCCCCUCUUCAAUGGUUGGAGAUCAGGACUUCCAUUCCAUUUCAGCUACUGACCAUGCCGAUCCAGAUUUAGAAACUACUCUCUCACAGAAAGUGUCUUCAAUGUUUGUGGAUCUCCAUUUCCUUGCAAAAGAGGAUAAUAGUGAUGUGGCAGCUGUGCAAUCCAAUGGUGAAGUGAAUCAUGAUGGUUGGGUUUCUGAAGACUCUGAAAAUGAAGACAAUGACCUGUAUUUGUCAGAAUGUAGGUUAACAUCAUCAAAUGCUCGAUUUCCCCAAGAGUGUUCCUAAAAGAAGUGAUCUGCAACUACCAUUCAAAGUUGGCUUGAAGAUACAAAACUUGGUGAUCUGAUUUUGAAGGCAGUGGAGCCUUAAAUGUUUCUGCUUGACCCGUAUGAUGACUGACUAAAGAGUA